ACAUCUUAUUUCUAAUUAUUUUUAUAUAUUAUAUUAUUUUUUGUCUAGUGGCAAAUCCUACUCUCUAAUCAACUAUUCGUAGGAAUUUGUUGAGCCUCUUUUUCCUUUGAUAUUAUUGCUUUUCAAAAUCCUGAAUCCGUACCCCUACUUUUGGAAGAGCGCGAUUAGACGAACGAUUAUAUAAUAAUUGAGGUUAUGAUGGGCUCAACUUAUGGAUGUGC